rnacentral:rRNA from 1 species
GAUGAACGCUGGCGGCGUGCCUAAUACAUGCAAGUCGAGCGAACAGAUGAGGAGCUUGCUCCUCUGACGUUAGCGGCGGACGGGUGAGUAACACGUGGAUAACCUACCUAUAAGACUGGGAUAACUUCGGGAAACCGGAGCUAAUACCGGAUAAUAUAUUGAACCGCAUGGUUCAAUAGUGAAAGACGGUUUUGCUGUCACUUAUAGAUGGAUCCGCGCCGCAUUAGCUAGUUGGUAAGGUAACGGCUUACCAAGGCAACGAUGCGUAGCCGACCUGGGAGGGUGAUCGGCCACACUGGAACUGAGACACGGUCCAGACUCCUACGGGAGGCAGCAAUAGGGAAUCUUCCGCAAUGGGCGAAAGCCUGACGGAGCAACGCCGCGUGAGUGAUGAAGGUCUUCGGAUCGUAAAACUCUGUUAUUAGGGAAGAACAAAUGUGUAAGUAACUAUGCACGUCUUGACGGUACCUAAUCAGAAAGCCACGGCUAACUACGUG